AUUGAACGCUGGCGGCAUGCCUUACACAUGCAAGUCGAACGGCAGCGCGGACUUCGGUCUGGCGGCGAGUGGCGAACGGGUGAGUAAUACAUCGGAACGUACCCUGCUGUGGGGGAUAACUAGUCGAAAGAUUAGCUAAUACCGCAUACGACCUGAGGGUGAAAGUGGGGGACCGCAAGGCCUCACCGAGCAGGAGCGGCCGAUGUCUGAUUAGCUAGUUGGUGGGGUAAAGGCCCACCAAGGCGACGAUCAGUAGCUGGUCUGAGAGGACGAUCAGCUACACUGGGACUGAGACACGGCCCAGACUCCUACGGGAGGCAGCAGUGGGGAAUUUUGGACAAUGGGGGCAACCCUGAUCCAGCAAUGCCGCGUGUGAAGAAGGCCUUCGGGUUGUAAAGCACUUUUGUCCGGAAAGAAAUCGCGCUGGUUAAUACCUGGCGUGGAUGACGGUACCGGAAGAAUAAGCACCGGCUAACUACGUGCCAGCCGCCGCCGUAA
rnacentral:rRNA from 1 species